rnacentral:rRNA from 1 species
AGAGUUUGAUCCUGGCUCAGGAUGAACGCCGGCGGUGUGCCUAAUACAUGCAAGUCGUACGCACUGGCCCAACUGAUUGAUGGUGCUUGCACCUGAUUGACGUUGGAUCACCAGUGAGUGGCGGACGGGUGAGUAACACGUAGGUAACCUGCCCCGGAGCGGGGGAUAACAUUUGGAAACAGAUGCUAAUACCGCAUAACAACAAAAGCCACAUGGCUUUUGUUUGAAAGAUGGCUUUGGCUAUCACUCUGGGAUGGACCUGCGGUGCAUUAGCUAGUUGGUAAGGUAACGGCUUACCAAGGCGAUGAUGCAUAGCCGAGUUGAGAGACUGAUCGGCCACAAUGGAACUGAGACACGGUCCAUACUCCUACGGGAGGCAGCAGUAGGGAAUCUUCCACAAUGGGCGCAAGCCUGAUGGAGCAACACCGCGUGAGUGAAGAAGGGUUUCGGCUCGUAAAGCUCUGUUGUUGGAGAAGAACGUGCGUGAGAGUAACUGUUCACGCAGUGACGGUAUCCAACCAGAAAGUCACGGCUAACUACGUGCCAGCAGCCGCGGUAAUACGUAGGUGGCAAGCGUUAUCCGGAUUUAUUGGGCGUAAAGCGAGCGCUGGCGGUUGCUUAGGUCUGAUGUGAAAGCCUUCGGCUUAACCGAAGAAGUGCAUCGGAAACCGGGCGACUUGAGUGCAGAAGAGGACAGUGGAACUCCAUGUGUAGCGGUGGAAUGCGUAGAUAUAUGGAAGAACACCAGUGGCGAAGGCGGCUGUCUGGUCUGCAACUGACGCUGAGGCUCGAAAGCAUGGGUAGCGAACAGGAUUAGAUACCCUGGUAGUCCAUGCCGUAAACGAUGAGUGCUAGGUGUUGGAGGGUUUCCGCCCUUCAGUGCCGGAGCUAACGCAUUAAGCACUCCGCCUGGGGAGUACGACCGCAAGGUUGAAACUCAAAGGAAUUGACGGGGGCCCGCACAAGCGGUGGAGCAUGUGGUUUAAUUCGAAGCUACGCGAAGAACCUUACCAGGUCUUGACAUCUUGCGCUAACCUUAGAGAUAAGGCGUUCCCUUCGGGGACGCAAUGACAGGUGGUGCAUGGUCGUCGUCAGCUCGUGUCGUGAGAUGUUGGGUUAAGUCCCGCAACGAGCGCAACCCUUGUUACUAGUUGCCAGCAUUAAGUUGGGCACUCUAGUGAGACUGCCGGUGACAAACCGGAGGAAGGUGGGGACGACGUCAGAUCAUCAUGCCCCUUAUGACCUGGGCUACACACGUGCUACAAUGGACGGUACAACGAGUCGCAAGCUCGCGAGAGUAAGCUAAUCUCUUAAAGCCGUUCUCAGUUCGGACUGUAGGCUGCAACUCGCCUACACGAAGUCGGAAUCGCUAGUAAUCGCGGAUCAGCAUGCCGCGGUGAAUACGUUCCCGGGCCUUGUACUCACCGCCCGUCA